CAGUCGCCGCGGUAAUACGUAGGUGGCAAGCGUCGUCCGGAAUUAUUGGGCGUAAAGGGCUCGCAGGCGGUUUCUUAAGUCUGAUGUGAAAGCCCCCGGCUCAACCGGGGAGUGUCAUUGGAAACUGGGAAACUUGAGUGCAGAAGAGGAGAGUGGAAUUCCACGUGUAGCGGUGAAAUGCGUAGAGAUGUGGAGGAACACCAGUGGCGAAGGCGACACACUGGCCCAUUACUGACGCUGAGGCUCGAAAGCGUGGGGAGCAAACAGGAUUAGAUACCCCCGUAGUCCCUGUCUCUUAUAA
rnacentral:rRNA from 1 species